rnacentral:rRNA from 1 species
AGAUUGAACGCUGGCGGCAUGCUUUACACAUGCAAGUCGAACGGUAACAGGCCGCAAGGUGCUGACGAGUGGCGAACGGGUGAGUAAUGUAUCGGAACGUGCCCAGUCGUGGGGGAUAACGCAGCGAAAGCUGCGCUAAUACCGCAUACGAUCUAUGGAUGAAAGCGGGGGACCGUAAGGCCUCGCGCGAUUGGAGCGGCCGAUAUCAGAUUAGGUAGUUGGUGGGUAAAGGCUCACCAAGCCAACGAUCUGUAGCUGGUCUGAGAGGACGACCAGCCACACUGGGACUGAGACACGGCCCAGACUCCUACGGGAGCAGCAGUGGGGAAUUUUGGACAAGUGGGUCGCAAGCCUGAUCCAGACAAUGACCGCGUGCCGAGGAAGAACGGCCGUUCGGUUAGUAAACGUUCGU